ensembl:lncRNA
AGCAGGGAGCAGGGCGGCGAUCCUGCCGGGGCCGUGCCUGGCGGCGGGGCUGCGGGGGGUCUCUUUGCUUUUCCGUGGCCUUGGGGUACCCGGCGCGUUCCGGCGCUGUGUCGGAGAUGCUCCUGAAUGCAUAGGAACAGUAAUUGCCGCCUCUCGUUUUCAGGCAGGGAGAACUGCUGCGGGGCUCCCGAGUUCGCCUCUCUCCCUGUCCCGUCAUUGGGAGCCCGGCGUAUGUCACAGGCAACGUCUGUAGUGAACUGAAAAUACCAUGGGUUUAUCCCGCUCAGAAUUCCAGAACCACAUCGCUCUGCCAUGAAUGAAUAUUGACUCGUGAACAGAGAAAAUACUGGGAAGACUUUUUUCUUCUUUGAUCAUCUAUUUUUCUGUAAGAACAGCCAGUCCCAGAAGAGAAGUCAAUGAUGCAGCAGGAAUAUUCAUGUAUCGAGCCUUCUCCUUGCCAGCUAUUGCCUAUUGUUAGAGAAUGGAGGCUGUGGGAGAUCAACAGAGACUGGAAACCACAGGGCAUAAGGGGUGGCCAGAGAAUUACAGCUGACAAGCAGAGGUUUUGUAAGAGGCAAAAUGUAAAGCUUUAUUUCAGUUUUCCUUGUUAGGAUGUUGUUAGGCUUCCUACAACAAUGGCAAACCUGAUGUUAUCUAAGCAAUAUUGUAUGACUGAGGGCUGAGUGAGGCUCUGUAAGGCAUUAGAAUCUCUCCCUACUGUUUUGCUUCUGAUAUUCAUGAAAUUUUG